rnacentral:lncRNA from 1 species
CUGGAGACCCGGUAGCUGCAUGGGGAGGCUCCCUUCCCUGAUGUGCAGGGCACAGAGGGCACCAAGGCUCAGAGAAGGGUUCUCUGGUGCUGCAGCACAUUGGGUGUGAGCGCGCGUGGUGCCACGCUGGCUGGCCCGGGCACACUUCCAUCACAUGCAUUCUGUGUGGCAUGAGGACGCUGCAUCUGAGAGAGGCUGGCCCUCCAGACAGUCUGCAACCUUCCAACCCUAAGAUGAACUGAGAGGAGGAGCCAAGGGCAGCCAGGGAGGACUUCCUGCUUGUCUGUGAUUCUCUGAUGAUCUUGAACACACAUAC